GUGUCAGCCGCCGCGGUAAUACGGAGGGUGCAAGCGUUAUCCGGAUUCACUGGGUUUAAAGGGUGCGUAGGCGGAUAUGUAAGUCCGUGGUGAAAUCUCUGGGCUUAACCCGGAAACUGCCAUGGAUACUAUGUGUCUUGAAUGUUGUUGAGGUGAGCGGAAUAUGUCAUGUAGCGGUGAAAUGCUUAGAUAUGACAUAGAACACCAAUUGCGAAGGCAGCUCACUAAGCAAAUAUUGACGCUGAGGCACGAAAGCGUGGGGAUCAAACAGGAUUAGAAACCCGUGUAGUCC
rnacentral:rRNA from 1 species